rnacentral:rRNA from 1 species
GAAUAUUGGACAAUGGGCGCAAGCCUGAUCCAGCCAUGCCGCGUGGGUGAUGAAGGCCCUAGGGUUGUAAAGCCCUUUCGGCGGGGAAGAUAAUGACGGUACCCGCAGAAGAAGCCCCGGCUAACUUCGUGCCAGCAGCCGCGGUAAUACGAAGGGGGCUAGCGUUGCUCGGAAUCACUGGGCGUAAAGCGCACGUAGGCGGACUCUUAAGUCGGGGGUGAAAUCCUGGAGCUCAACUCCAGAACUGCCUUCGAUACUGAGAGUCUUGAGUCCGGGAGAGGUGAGUGGAACUGCGAGUGUAGAGGUGAAAUUCGUAGAUAUUCGCAAGAACACCAGUGGCGAAGGCGGCUCACUGGCCCGGUACUGACGCUGAGGUGCGAAAGCGUGGGGAGCAAACAG